UUGAAAGGGAAACGAUUGAAGUCAGUCGUACCUAUGGGUAAUCAGCCUUUUGGGUAUGAUUUUGUGGAGCGUGGAGAGUUAAACGCCUUCAUGCCUGCAUAUUCGUGCACUUUGGGUGUACUUGCCCGUGUGUAAGUUAACAUCAAUUUUGGUGGUCAUAAAAUGGCUGGAGGAAUGUAGCUUCGAUCUUGUAUUGAAGUGUUAUAGCCUUCGGUAGAUGUGACGAUCGGGAUUGAGGAUUGCAACGGAUACCCUUCGGGGCUACCUGUCUGAUCUCUGAUUGUUGCUCUGGUGCCGAAAGCUUGCUUACGGUUAUCAAAGUCGAUGGUCAA
rnacentral:rRNA from 1 species